CCGCCGCGCAGCGCAGCGCCGCCCGCAGGGGCGCGGAGCGGGCCGGGCGCGGGUCCCGCUGCGGCAGCCGCGGGGGUGGGGGGGGCCGCCUGUGCUCUCCGGGCUUUAGUUUUCCUCCUUUCUUUUCCUUGUUUUUCUUUUUGCUCUUUUUCUUUCUUUCUUCUUUUUGCUUUCUUUCUUUUCUCCCCUUUUUUCUCUUCUCCCCUCCGGAAAGCGCUCAGCGGCGCAGCCACAAACCCCUCCGGCGGCCCGUGCGCGGCGGCGCUCAGCCGCGGGCCGACGGCGCCCUCUGCCGGCGCGGCGCGGCACUGCACGGCAGCCCCCCCGCGGCCGCGGGGCUCCCGGCGCGGGCAUCGCCCCCUCGGGGUCCCGGUGCGGUGUCCGUCCCGCCGCCCGCGCGCAGGCCUGGCUGUAGACAACCCCGCAAAGCCCGAGCCCUGCCCGUCUCUAGCAGCCGGAGGCAGCGACGCGAGCGGAGCAGCAGCGCGGUGCUCAGCUCACCGCACUUUAAAUGUGCGCAGAGCGGUGAGCGCUUGUGCGCACGGACGGGCUGUGCGUGGCGAUGGAGCUGCAAGAGGUACGAGGACAGGCGGUGACACAGCAGCAGAGGCAAUAAGCAGGUCCUGCCCGGCCGCCGCGAGAACCGCAGCCGGCGGAGCCCCUCGGCGCGGAUCAGGCGAGAACAAGCCCCGUUGCACUGAGACUUCCCGUCUUGCCUGGAAAGAAAGUAGGUUAAGAGGAAUUUUCUAAGGUGGGAAGCAGUAGUAGAGUUUGUCCCCCUUAUUUAGACUGAAAGAAAAACAAGCCUGUGAUUUUCUUGGCAUAGGAAAGCCAGGAAAGAACGGAAGCUUGUGAAAAUCAUGACCGUCUCCAGUGGAGCUGCUACCUGAGUUGACUCAGCUAACGAAAAGUCUGGGCACUUUAGGAUAUCUUUUUAGCUUUUUUGCUUUGUGGAAAUGAAAUAAAGAGAGAAAAGAAGAAAGAAGAAGGGAGAUCUUAAAGCUCAGGGGAAAAAAAACAAAAUUCUUCCCCAAAGUCCACUGCAAACUUUAAACGUGCGUCUGUUUUCUCCUUGCAAUUUGUCGAUCCUCUGAGUACAACGGCAAACUCCGAAGGAGGGACGUCCUAAGCCAACUUCUACUUCACGUGAUACUAGCGUUACCCAGAGGAGCUCUGCUUGUGCCGGUGGAGUUACUCUGGCUGUGCAUCAGUGUAAAUGUGCGGAGAGUUUUUGACACCCUUUAGAUGAACACAAAUAAAUUCAGACAGAGUUAAGGC